rnacentral:misc_RNA from 1 species
AUUAUUGUUGUUGUUGUUGUUGUGAAAUUUUAUUUAUUUAUUUUAGUACCUCCUUUGAAAUAGUUGAGAGUUCCGUUGGCUGGAGGACGGUUGAAUGUUGCACUUGUUUGAUGGGUGAGGUGAAGUAAUGCUUUAGCUUGUAAGAAAGCAACUCAAUUUUGUUGCAAACUUGGGGUUUGGAAUGAAAUUUUGUUUAGCUAUAAUUUCUAGUGAUUUUAUUUGGAUGCUUCUAAUCACUUCAAAUUAUCCAGUUUUGCUGGUUUCAUAGUUGUUAAAGGCACGCCCUCAGGCUCAAGGCUCACCAGUCUCGAACCCUAGCGCCUUAUGCGCUUAGGCAUGCGCCUUUGUUCUAGGAGCAAAAUUCUAGAAAGGCAUGCCUUAUUUA